GAUGAACGCUAGCGGCAGGCCUAACACAUGCAAGUCGAGGGGUAGAGGAAGCUUGCUUCCUUGAGACCGGCGCACGGGUGCGUAACGCGUAUGCAAUCUACCUUUUACAGAGGGAUAGCCCAGAGAAAUUUGGAUUAAUACCUCAUUGUAUCUUUGCCCGGCAUCGGGUGAUUAUUAAAGUUCCAACGGUAAAAGAUGAGAAUGCGUCCUAUUAGCUAGAUGGUAAGGUAACGGCGUACCAUGGCAACGAUAGGUAGGGGUCCUGGGAGGGGGGUCCACCGCACUGGUACUGAGACACGGACCAGACUCCUACGGGAGGCAGCAGUGAGGAAUAUUGGACAAUGGGCGCAAGCCUGAUCCAGCCAUGCCGCGUGCAGGAAGACGGUCCUAUGGAUUGUAAACUGCUUUUGUACGGGAAGAAACACUCCUACGUGUAGGAGCUUGACGGUACCGUAAGAAUAAGGAUCGGCUAACUCCGUGCCAGCCGCCGCCGUAAGAC
rnacentral:rRNA from 1 species